rnacentral:rRNA from 1 species
GAUAAACGCUGGCGGCGUGCUUAGCACAUGCAAGUCGAACGAAGUUUUUCCUUCGGGAGAAACUUAGUGGCGGACGGGUGAGUAACGCGUGGGUAACCUGCCCUGUACAGGGGGACAACAGCUGGAAACGGCUGCUAAUACCGCAUAAGCACUUAGCACUGCAUGGUGCAUAGGGAAAAGGAGCAAUCCGGUACAGGAUGGACCCGCGUCUGAUUAGCCAGUUGGCAGGGUAACGGCCUACCAAAGCGACGAUCAGUAGCCGAUCUGAGAGGAUGUACGGCCACAUUGGGACUGAGACACGGCCCAGACUCCUACGGGAGGCAGCAGUGGGGAAUAUUGCACAAUGGAGGAAACUCUGAUGCAGCGACGCCGCGUGAGUGAAGAAGUAUUUCGGUAUGUAAAGCUCUAUCAGCAGGGAAGAAAAUGACGGUACCUGACUAAGAAGCACCGGCUAAAUACGUG